AGAGUUUGAUCCUGGCUCAGAUUGAACGCUGGCGGCAUGCCUUACACAUGCAAGUCGAACGGCAGCACGGGUGCUUGCACCUGGUGGCGAGUGGCGAACGGGUGAGUAAUGUAUCGGAACGUACCAUUCAGUGGGGGAUAACUAUCCGAAAGGAUAGCUAAUACCGCAUAUUCUGUGAGCAGGAAAGCAGGGGAUCGCAAGACCUUGCGCUGAUUGAGCGGCCGAUAUCAGAUUAGCUAGUUGGUGGGGUAAAAGCCUACCAAGGCGACGAUCUGUAGCGGGUCUGAGAGGAUGAUCCGCCACACUGGAACUGAGACACGGUCCAGACUCCUACGGGAGGCAGCAGUGGGGAAUUUUGGACAAUGGGCGAAAGCCUGAUCCAGCCAUGCCGCGUGAGUGAAGAAGGCCUUCGGGUUGUAAAGCUCUUUCGGCCGGGAAGAAAUCGCAUAGGUUAAUACCCUGUGUGGAUGACGGUACCGGAAUAAGAAGCACCGGCUAACUACGUGCCAGCAGCCGCGGUAAUACGUAGGGUGCGAGCGUUAAUCGGAAUUACUGGGCGUAAAGCGUGCGCAGGCGGUUUUUUAAGACAGGCGUGAAAUCCCCGGGCUUAACCUGGGAACUGCGCUUGUGACUGGAAGGCUAGAGUACGGCAGAAGGGGGGUGGAAUUCCCCCGUGUAGCAGUGAAAUGCGUAGAGAAUGUGGAGGAACCACCGAUGGGCGAAGGCAGCCCCCUGGGCCGAUACUGACGCUCAUGCACGAAAGCGUGGGGAGCAAACAGGAUUAGAUACCCUGGUAGUCCACGCCCUAAACGAUGUCAACUAGGUGUUGGGUGGGUAAAACCAUUUAGUACCGGAGCUAACGCGUGAAGUUGACCGCCUGGGGAGUACGGCCGCAAGGUUAAAACUCAAAUGAAUUGACGG
rnacentral:rRNA from 1 species